rnacentral:rRNA from 2 species
UACGAAGGAUGCAAGCGUUAUCCGGAUUUAUUGGGUUUAAAGGGUGCGUAGGCGGACUUAUAAGUCAGUGGUGAAAUCUCGAUGCUUAACAUCGAACGUGCCAUUGAUACUGUAGGUCUUGAGUACAGAUGCCGUUGGCGGAAUGUGUCAUGUAGCGGUGAAAUGCAUAGAUAUGACACAGAACACCGAUUGCGAAGGCAGCUGACGAAACUGUAACUGACGCUGAGGCACGAAAGCGUGGGGAU